GCACUGCUGAGGAGUCCCACCAAUAGGACGAAACGGACGUCCAGUGC
rfam:Schistosoma mansoni strain Puerto Rico chromosome 3, complete genome